rnacentral:rRNA from 1 species
CCUACGGGAGGCAGCAGUGGGGAAUAUUGCACAAUGGGGGAAACCCUGAUGCAGCGACGCCGCGUGAGUGAAGAAGUAAUUCGUUAUUUAAAGCUCUAUCAACAGGGAAGAAAAUGACUGUACCUGAGUAAGAAGCCCCGGCUAACUACGUGCCAGCAGCCGCGGUACUACGUCGGGGGCAAGCGUUAUCCGGAUUUACGGGGUGUAAGGGGAGCGUAGACGGCAUUGCAAGUCUGGAGUGAAAGGAGGGGGCUAAACCCCCGGACUGCUCUUGAAACUGUACGGCUGGAGUGCAGGAGAGGUAGGUGGAAUUCGUGGUGUAGCGGUGAAAUGCGUAGAUAUUAGGAGGAACACCAGUGGCGAAGGCGGCUUACUGGACUGUAACUGACGUUGAGGCUCGAAAGCGUGGGGAGCAAACAGGAUUAGAUACCCCAGUAGUC